CGCGACCCCAAGUCAGGCGGGACUACCCGCUGAGUU
rnacentral:rRNA from 1 species